UACGGAGGGUGCAAGCGAUGUUCGGAAUCACUGGGCGUAAAGCGCGUGUAGGCGGCCUUCUAAGUCUGAUGUGAAAGCCCGGGGCUCACCCCCGGAAGUGCAUUGGAUACUGGGAGGCUGGAGUACCGGAGAGGAGGGUGGAAUUCCUGGUGUAGCGGUGAAAUGCGUAGAGAUCAGGAGGAACACCGGUGGCGAAGGCGGCCCUCUGGACGGAUACUGACGAUGAGACGCGACAGCGUGGGGAGCAAACAGU
rnacentral:rRNA from 1 species